rnacentral:rRNA from 1 species
UACGAAGGGGGCUAGCGUUACUCGGAUUGACUGGGCGUAAAGGGCGCGCAGGCGGUACGGCACGUCCGUUGUGAAAUCGCUCGGCUCAACUGGGCGGGGUCAGCGGAUACGGUCGUACUUGAGCAAGCUAGGGGGCAAUGGAAUUCCCGGUGUAGUGGUGGAAUGCGUAGAUAUCGGGAGGAACACCAGUGGCGAAGGCGGUUGCCUGGAGCUUUGCUGACGCUGAGGCGCGAAAGCGUGGGGAGCGAUCCGG